AGAGUUUGAUCAUGGCUCAGGAUGAACGCUGGCGGCGUGCCUAAUACAUGCAAGUCGAGCGGUAAGGCUCCUUCGGGAGUACACGAGCGGCGGACGGCUGAGUAACGCGUAGGAACGUACCCCAAACUGAGGGAUAACUGCUCGAAAGAGUAGCUAAUACCGCAUGUGCUCUACGGAGUAAAGCUACGGCGGUUUGGGAACGGCCUGCGUACGAUUAGAUUGUUGGUGAGGUAAUGGCUCACCAAGUCGACGAUCGUUAGCUGGUCUGAGAGGAUGAUCAGCCAGACUGGGACUGAGAACGGCCCAGACUCCUACGGGAGGCAGCAGUAGGGAAUUUUCCACAAUGGACGAAAGUCUGAUGGAGCAACGCCGCGUGCAGGAUGAAUGCCUUCGGGUUGUAAACUGCUUUUAUCUGUGACGAAUAUGACGGUAGCAGAUGAAUAAGGAUCGGCUAACUCCGUGCCAGCAGCCGCGGUCAUACGGAGGAUCCAAGCGUUAUCCGGAAUUACUGGGCGUAAAGAGUUGCGUAGGUGGCAGAGUAUGUCUGUAGUGAAAGCGUGUGGCUCAACCAUAUACACAUUACAGAAACUGCUCAGCUAGAGGGCGAGAGAGGUUACUAGAAUUCCUAGUGUAGGAGUGAAAUCCGUAGAUAUUAGGAGGAAUACCGAUGGCGUANGCAGGUAACUGGCUCGUCCCUGACACUAAGGCACGAAAGCGUGGGUAGCAAACGGGAUUAGAUACCCCGGUAGU
rnacentral:rRNA from 1 species